AUUGAACGCUGGCGGCAGGCUUAACACAUGCAAGUCGAGCGAGCGGCGGACGGGUGAGUAAUGUCUGGGAAACUGACUGAUGGAGGGGGAUAACUACUGGAAACGGUAGCUAAUACCGCAUACCAUCGGAUGAGCCCAGAUGGGAUUAGGUCGUAGGUGGGGUAAAGGCUCACCAAGGCGACGAUCCCUAGCUGGUCUGAGAGGAUGACCAGCCACACGGGGAUGUAGACACGGCCCAGCAUCCUACGGGAGGCAGCAGUGGGGAAUAUUGCACAAUGGGCGCAAGCCUGAUGCAGCCAUGCCGCGUGUAUGAAGAAGGCCUUCGGGUUGUAAAGUACUUUCAGCGGGGAGGCGUUACCCGCAGAAGAAGCACCGGCUAACUCCGUGCCAGCAGCCGCGGUAAUUC
rnacentral:rRNA from 1 species